AUUUCUUAUCUUCUAGUGCUGGUGCUAUCAGUAAAAAUCUGGUUAUCACAAACCAUCCAACCUUCACAAGAGGAACAUUUAUUUUCCUAUGAACUUGAAAAUGUCAGUCUGGUGUCGUUUUAUAUUCAAGCAUCUGAGUAGUUUUAUUUGUGGCACUGUGACCUGGUCUUUUCCCUAUAUAAGACAAAAAUCCAUUGCCUAUCUGCUUGAAAUAUACUGAAGAUUUCUAAACAUCAGCCAAGAUGCAAAGGAUUUCUGUAUCUAGAUGACAGAACAGGGUCUUCAAAUCACCAAAUUGCAGCUGCACUUUAAUCAGCAAGAUCCUUGAGGAGAUGAGUAUCCAGGCAACCCUGUGGAAAAGCAGCAGUGAAGGAAAUUGUUCGGCACUGUAGUCAGUGGGAGGAGACCUUU